UCCUUGGUGGUCCAGUGGCUAAGACUCCACGCUCCCAAUGCAAGAGGGCCUGGGUUCAAUCCCCAGUCAGGGAA
rfam:TPA: Bos taurus chromosome 13, whole genome shotgun sequence.